AUGUCUCUCUCUCCCGGGCGCGUAUUGCCGAAAAGAAGGUUUUGCUUCAGUUGUGCUACUCUAGACCUGCGGAAGACAGGUGCUGCAUGCAAAGGCCUAAGUCCCGCGAUGUGCAGAGAGUGUACACCAGAAGGCUCAGAUCCAAUAUCAGUAGCGGAAGAAUUAGACUUGUGUAAGCCUGAGGCCUGGACCAUAAAGUCUAAAAUUAAGUAUAGGCCGGGGGCAGCAGCAGAAGAUUGGACUGGAACCCGAGAAGGACAAAAACUAGAUAUCUUUUGUGGAAGUUACUUACGAUCGGGCUUCACUAAUCUGUAG
rnacentral:lncRNA from 1 species